AACGCGAAGAACCUUACCAAGGUUUGACAUGGACCGAAAACUCAUGGAGACAUGGGGUCCUUCGGGGCGGUUCACAGGUGGUGCAUGGCUGUCGUCAGCUCGUGUCGUGAGAUGUUGGGUUAAGUCCCGCAACGAGCGCAACCCUCGUCCCAUGUUGCCAGCGGGUUAUGCCGGGGACUCAUGGGAGACUGCCGGGGUCAACUCGGAGGAAGGUGGGGAUGACGUCAAGUCAUCAUGCCCCUUAUGUCUUGGGCUGCAAACAUGCUACAAUGGCCGGUACAAAGGGCUGCGAGCCCGUGAGGGUGAGCGAAUCCCGGAAAGCCGGUCUCAGUUCGGAUCGGGGUCUGCAACCCGGCCCCGUGAAGCCGGAGUCGCUAGUAAUCGCGGAUCAGCAACGCCGCGGUGAAUACGUUCCCGGGCCUUGUA
rnacentral:rRNA from 1 species